rnacentral:rRNA from 1 species
UACAUGUGGGGCAAGCGUUUGUUCGGAAUUACUGGGCAUAAAGGGUGCGUAGGCGGCUUGUUAAGUCAGGGGUGAAAGUUUUCGGCCCAACCGGAAAAUUGCCUUUGAUACUGGCGAGCUGGAGUGCGUGAGGGGUGACCGGAACGAGUGGUGUAGCGGUGAAAUGCGUAGAUAUCACUCGGAAGGCCAACGGCGAAGGCAGGUCACUGGUGCGCAACUGACGCUGAGGCACGAAAGCGUGGGGAGCAAACAGG